rnacentral:rRNA from 1 species
GACAGAGGUGCCAAGCGUUAGGCGGAAUCACUGGGCUUAAAGCGUGUGUAGGCGGAAUGGUAAGUACCUUGUGAAAUCCCACGGCUCAACCGUGGAACUGCUUGGUAUACUGCUUUUCUUGAGCCACUUAGGGGCAACCGGAACAAACGGUGGAGCGGUGAAAUGCGUAGAUAUCGUUUGGAACGCCAAUGGUGAAAACAGGUUGCUGGGAGUGUGCUGACGCUGAGACGAACGACCAGGGAGC